rnacentral:rRNA from 1 species
CUACCCUUAGGUGGGGCAUAAACCCGGGAAACUGGGGCUAAUUCCCCAUAGAUACAGAAGGCUGGAAUGCCUCUGUAUUCAAAGCUCCGGCGCCUAAGGAUGAGUCUGCGACCUAUCAGGUAGUAGUCAGGGUCACGACCUGACUAGCCAACGACGGGUACGGGGUGUGAGAGCACUUGCCCGGAGAUGGUUUCUGAGACACGAAACCAGGCCCUACGGGGCGCAGCAGGCGCGAAAACUUCGCAAUGCGGGAAACCGUGACGAGGGAACUCCAAGUGUCUAUGCAAUGCAUAGACUGUUUUUCAGCCUAAAUAGCUGUUAGAGUAAGGGGUGGGUAAGACCGGUGCCAGCCGCCGCGGUAACACCGGCACCCCGAGUGGUAGCCACUAUUAUUGGGCCUAAAGCGUUCGUAGCCGGUUUAGUAAAUUCUUGGGUAAAUCGUACAGCUUAACUGUGCGGAUUCCGGGGACACUACUAGACUUGAGACCGGGAGAGAUCAGAGGUACUUGCAGGGGAGCGGUGAAAUGUUGUAAUCCUGCAGGGACCACCAGUGGCGAAGGCGUCUAAUCAUAACGGCUCUGACGGUGAGGAACGAAACCCUGGGGCGCAAACGGGAUUAGAUACCCCGGUAGUCCAGGGCGUAAACGCUGCUGACUUGGUGUUGGAGAUCCUACGAGGGUGUCCAGUGCUGGCGCGAA